rnacentral:rRNA from 1 species
GUAGGGUCCGAGCGUUAUCCGGAAUCAUUGGGCGUAAAGAGCUCGUAGGCGGUUCAGCAAGUCGGCUGUGAAAGUUCGAGGCUCAACCUCGAAAUUGCAGUCGAUACUGCUGUGACUCGAGUCCGGUAGAGGAGAAUGGAAUUCCCGGUGUAGCGGUGAAAUGCGCAGAUAUCGGGAGGAACACCAGUAGCGAAGGCGGUUCUCUGGGCCGGCACCGACGCUGAGGAGCGAAAGCGUGGGGGAGCAAACAGGAUUAGAUACCCUGGUAGUCCACGCCGUAAACGUUGGAUGCUAGGUGUGGCGGUCUACCAACCGACUGCCGUGCCGAAGCUAACGCAUUAAGCAUCCCCGCCUGGGAGUACGGCCGCAAGGCUA